rnacentral:rRNA from 1 species
CAAUAGCGUAUAUUAAAGUUGUUGCGGUUAAAAAGCUCGUAGUUGGAUUUCUGCCGAGGACGACCGGUCCGCCCUCUGGGUGUGUAUCUGGUUUGGCCUGGGCAUCUUCUUGGAGAACGUAGCUGCACUUGACUGUGUGGUGCGGUAUCUACGACUUUUACUUUGAGGAAAUUAGAGUGUUCACGGCAGGCAAUCGCCUUGAAUAUAUUAGCAUGGAAUAAUAACAUAGGAUCUUUGUCCUAUUUUGUUGGUUUCUAGGGCUGAGAUAAUGAUUAAUAGGGAUAAUUGGGGGCAUCUGUAUCAACGCGUCAGAGGUGGAAUUCUUGGAUUGCGUUGCGACAAACUACUGCGAAAGCAUUUGCCAAGGAUGUUUUCAUUGA